UAUACACAUUUUUUGUAAAUAUUACUAAAAUUGGGUAAAAAAGAUGUCAGAUGCAAUGAAUGUUCCUACCAGGAAUUCGUAUAUUUUACUUCAUACCAUUAGUAAGUUUGUUUUUAUUGUCAUACCUAACAACUGUGAUGUGAGCACUUUGCAAUCGCCAUUUGCAAAGCCAUUUGGAGACGAAGCGAUUUGGAGUUACCCUUAAAAUUAUAUGCAGUACAAUCAUUCAUAUAACAUAAAUAAAUCGGAGAUAAGUAUUCGUUUUUUUUACAUCAUUACAUCAGUCACCUCGGUCGGGAAACUAUUUUCAUAUUCCCGCCAAGGAUAAACAUAAGUUAUAUUCUAUACAUUACAACACUAUUGACCUUUUUCCUUGUCUUUACAGCUGGCAUGAUCCCAGACUCGUAAUACUUGCUAUCCGAAUACCAUCCGAGCUAUGGGAUUGAAGGUAACGGCGAGUUUGUCGCUAAGAUUGGAAUCUUUCUUCAACACAUCAUCGACCGUAAAAAAAUUAAGGGACACGAGAGAACAAAAUACGGAUGAAACGUGCUAAUUCUACCGUCACUCUGCUAAUCAGCUGCUAGUCAGCUGAUGCAAAUCAGAGCAAUGCAGCAGGAAGAGGAACGGGAACUUGCUCGGGAACUUGCUUUGGAAAUGCUCAUGAAAUUGAGGUGGUUGAGGCUGCGAUUAAAAUUUGCCUCUUGUACGCAGUUUAUAGAAUGAUUCCAACGAGAAUUAUUGAUGUUGUUUAUAGAAUGAGUUAUUAGUAUAAUGUAUUCUAAGUAUGUAGAAUUAAACGCAAUCAAAUACAUUUUUUUUUAAAUUAAAA